ACCCUUUGGUUAAGUCAUUAUUUUGGUUGUGGACUGAGGGGCUGUGGCAACCAUUGUUCACACUGUUACAGUUAGAGGUGAUGUCACCUAGUAAUCAAUUCAGUUGGGGUGGUACUUCCCUUACGUCAACUCUUGGUGACUUUUAUACUUGGGCACUAGUUUCUAUUAGUUGGUGUCAUAUACUCUUGGCUUGACCGUUAAUCUUAAGCCAGUUGACAUAGUGUUGGUACAUUGUGUGAUUAUUUUUAAGUAUUUUAUUUCUGAAUAGUAGUUGUUUUACAUAUUAAAGUGAAAAUUUUAAUUUCCUUAGGUCAUGGAUCAGAAAGAACAUAAAUUGAAUGGGAAAGUCAUUGAUCCUAAAAGGGCCAAAGCCAUGAAAACAAAAGAGCCCGUCAAAAAAAUUUUUGUUGGUGGCCUUUCUCCAGACACACCUGAAGAAAAAAUAAGAGAGUACUUUGGUGGUUUUGGUGAGGUUGAAUCCAUAGAGCUGCCUAUGGACAACAAGACCAAUAAGAGGCGUGGGUUCUGUUUCAUUACCUUUAAGGAAGAGGAACCAGUGAAGAAGAUAAUGGAGAAGAAAUACCACAAUGUUGGUCUUAGUAAAUGUGAAAUAAAAGUAGCCAUGUCGAAGGAGCAGUAUCAGCAGCAGCAGCAGUGGGGAUCUAGAGGAGGGUU
rnacentral:lncRNA from 1 species